CAGUUCUGUGAAGAUUUGCUAGGUUCAAGGCUUAAGACAGAGACAGGUAUCUGAUUCGUGGCAAGAGUGUUGUAAGUUUGGCUUUCUCUCACAAUGACUAGGCAACAGUGUCCUCAGGGGGAGAUCAAAGAGUAUUAAAAGUGGGUUGGAAAUUGCCACAUAAUGAUUGAGGAGACCUCAAAACAUUAAUUUUUAUGGGUAUCGCUUCUUGUCUUAACAGUUUCUUUGGCACAACCCCAAGUAUAUUUGGAAAAAAGUACUUGCUUCAGGUUAGAUCCUGUGGGUAUAAGAGAUGCUAACUGCCCUCACAGAACUCAGGGUUCAGCGGGGAGUAAUGGCUGCUGCACAUGAAACCGAGAAUGCAGCCCAGAUUCCAACUGGUAAGAACCACACUUCAGCAUUGUUGAGUUGUCCCCUGUAUUUUCUGCAUGGAAAGGAUUAUUAGUUCUCAGGAGAUUACAGUGAGGUACCCCUGGCUCCCACUGGAACUAACUUGUGUGAACAUCUAACUGAUGAGAACAGCCAUCCAGACAGACUAAAUGGUCUGAAGAUGGGUGGCUGAACACCCUCAGAAACACCUAUGUGAAAUGGAACCCCCAAAACACCCUGGAGUGGAUAAAAUCAGUCAGAAAAAAAGGAAAGCAGGGGUUUUCCUGGAAUCUGGGAAACAGGGUGAGGAGGGGGGAAGAUGUAGAAGAGGAGUAAACCCUUGGGAGACUUGGGGUCAGGCAACUGACAUGUUAUCAUCUCACUUAACUAACAAGCUUAUGAGGCUGCUAUAUCUUCCCAUUCUGCACGUAAGGAAAAAGGAAGUAGCUAGCCUAAAAUAAAGAAUUUGCUUUACAAUCCAUCUACUUUUUAAAGUUCUAAGCCUUUUAUCUAUGGUAGCCAUUAUCUCUCUCCUCUCUUUAAAAUGAUCCUUGGUAUCUCUAUGGCAUCUGUUGGGAGGAAUAUACCUACUGUGGAAGUGACAUGGAGCUAGAAGGCAACAUGGUUUCUUCACCAGUUCAGGUGGGAGCAUCACUGACCUAUUCUCCCCACCUUUUAUGGAACUGACAGUCACAAGUGAGAUCUCUCCUGUGAGUACGGCAAUUCUUCCACAGUAAUUGAAAUGCAAAGAGAAGAGGUGUCAUCUGGAAGAAUAAGCCAUCUGACUGCAGAGAAAGGCAAAAGGGAAAUAUACAGGGGUGACCCCACUGUCAUGGUUGGUUGGCUUACAGUGGGGAAGAAAUCAGGACUGCAUGAUGGAUCCACUUGAAGCCAUUAAGAAUGACUGGGUCCCACUUUUCUAGCCUUGGGCCUGCAGUGCAAGCCCAGAGAUGAGAAAAAGGAAGAAAAAGAAAGAAAAUAUCUUUUAAAAAUGAUAAUAUUCCUGUUCUCUGCUCACCCUGGAGGCUUAUUUUGAAAAUCACAGUGAUUUAACUUGUUAGCAGUUUAAUUCAUUUUAAAAGAUUAACCAGACUAAUUAUUCAUCAGAUUUCACCAUCUUUGUCAGCCUCAAUAAGGAUCCUUUGUUACAGUGAUUAAUGUGUUUUAAUUGUAGCUUCUCUCAGAGCAAUAAUUCGAUCGCACAGUAUUUGCCGAAUCUAUGGAAAUCUUGGAAAUGCUUUGACAAGUGAGCUAUUCUUGGGAAAUGAAAGUAAAGGAAUAUGUGUAACUAACAAAAGGUGUUUUAUAGCGUAUCAUUAAUAUGGAUUUUCCUUUCUGACAGACCUUACUGUAUUUCUGUCCAUGAAUCUGCUUACUGUACAUGUCUAUUUGCCAUCCAAGAACU